UACGGGGGGGGCAAGCGUUGUUCGGAAUUACUGGGCGUAAAGGGCUCGUAGGCGGCCAACUAAGUCAGACGUGAAAUCCCUCGGCUUAACCGGGGAACUGCGUCUGAUACUGGAUGGCUUGAAUCCGGGAGAGGGAUGCGGAAUUCCAGGUGUAGCGGUGAAAUGCGUAGAUAUCGGGAGGAACACCAGUGGCGAAGGCGGUUGCCUGGAGCUUUGCUGACGCUGAUGCGCGAAAGCGUGGGGAGCGAUCCGG
rnacentral:rRNA from 1 species